CUUCAAAUAUUCUUCCUCACUCAUUUAGGGUGCAAGCGGCGGGGCGCCCCUAUCAUUUGCCGAUACCGCCUAUGGCAAGGGCCGGCCCUGCUGCAGGCAGAAGUUGAGAAAGGUGAAGGAGAAAAAAGAUUUGUGAAGAAGGAAAUUAAAGAUGGCGGACCCCUGAAGGUGCAUCAAUGAAGCUGGAUGAAAGUGCAUGACACUAUGUUGAUAUUCUGAAACAUAUCGUCAGAACAGAGACAUGACUUAUUCAAGUGCGAAGUUCCAGGACAAAGAGGAUGUCACAGUAAAGGGAAGCUCUUGUGUUCGCUGAUUGCAGCUGCUGCUUCUGAACCGGGGAAAACAAGGGAUCUGGACCCACACUUUGGGAACCCCUAGCUUGGAGGACUGCUCAUCUCUUUCAGCGGCUGCAGAUCCGGAAACCCACAGUAUUCACUCAGAGCGCUGACUGCUGCACAUAUUUACAUUAAGCCGACCACAGCGCGCACUACCCGAUGCAUCACGGCGUCUCUGGCCCUUCUCUAUGUCUCCAGUGGAACCUCUUUGAAAGUCCGGCUCCUCGGCGAUGGACGUGCCGACACGUCUCCUUCACCCACAGGCAGAAAAUGAGGCACGAGGGGGGUGAUACAUGGGAGGCCCAUCGUACUGAAACACAGGAGACGGAGAAGGAGGGGAGCCGAUGAUCUGAGAUCAGAUGUUUCCUCCUGAUAACAAGCAGCUGUGAUGAUCACUUCCAGACGCAGACCGUUUUUUUUCAGGAGAAGGCCAGAGGUUGACGUCCAUGUGCCCUGACCCCGGCCUCCACAUCCUCCACAUCUCUCCGUUUCCCUCCUUUAGUUCCACUUUUCCAGCAGUCCAAACCGAGUCAGGAGACUGCACGGCCCAAAUGUUAUUUGCUAAAUUAGAUAAUAGAGGCUGUCCACGGAGUGUAAUGGCACUCUAGUGGGAAAACAAUGUUGUUUUGUUGUUGAGGCCAGAGAAGAAGUUGUUUAUCAGCUGAUUGGAGGAUCUUUCUAUUUUCCUGUCCAUCUAGAUCUUAAUCUAUUUCCUCUGCAUAAAUGUACUGAGAGGUCUUUAUAA